UUCUUCAUCUUCCACCGAAUACAGAGAAAAGAAACAGCCAUGGUUGUGUUUUAGGGUUCGGCAUCUUCAUGGCUCAAUUUGUAAGUGUUUUGAGCUCGAUUUUUGAUGAUUUUUAUGUUUUUGUGAUUGUUGCUUCAUGUUCUAGUUAGCCUGUACCCUAAUUUCUGAAUUUUUUGAUGAAUUUGUGAGUUUCCAUUGAUGAUAGCUUGAUGUUUUUGAGUGUUGAUGAUGGAAAAUAAAUCAUUGUUUUUAGAUUAACAAGUUUUAUAAAGUGAUUUUGAGUAAAAAUGUCAAUUUUGGACCAAAUUAUAUAAGGUGGAAAUUUAGUGGUUAAAAUGUAAAAUAAAUUGAAAAUAUGGGCUGAUAGUAAUAUAUGAAAAAUUCGGCUAGCUUGGGUUUGUGUUUAAUUUCAUGAAAUUGUGAUUUCAAGUGAUAAGGACUAAAUUGCAAAAAUAUGAAAUAAUAGGGGAAAAAAUGUAAAUUUUCCAAAAUGUGUAAAUUGUGUUAAAUUGAAUGAAAUGUUGAUUAAAUAAGUAAAUUUUGAUAUUAUAUAGAUUGAGAUAAUCGAGAAUUGGAUCUAGAACGGGGGAAAAAUAAAGUACCGGACUAAUUGAUCCGUUCCGUCAUUUUAACGAUCGAGGUAAGUUUGUAUGUAAUAAGCAUUGUUAAAUUUAUGCUUUUAAUGAUUUGAUAUUAUAUAAAUUGUAUAUACGUGACUAUUUUUAUGUUUAACGACAUAUCGGCUAAAAAAAUGGCACUUACUGUACGGUUCGAAAUAGCUUCGGCUAAAUAUGGCACUUGGUGUACGAUUGGAGAUAGCUUCGGCUAGAUAUGUAUAUGGCACUUAGUGUGCAAAAUAUUAAUAAUGACAAUUGGUGUGCGAGAUAUUAAGUAUGGCACUUAGUGUACAAGAUAUCGAAGAUGCAACGACAUUACGUGUAUGUAUGAAAUGGUAAGGAUCGGUACAGAUAUGUACAUGAGUUAUGAUGCAUCUUUGUAACGAAGUAAAUAAGUAAGUCAUGUUUAUGAGAAUGAUUUUGUGAUGACCUUGUGAUUAUGGGCUGAUGCUUAUGUUGUAUAAAUAUUUAUUUAUACCAUGAUGGUGGAAAUGAUUGGUGAAGGUGUGAUGAGCUUAGUUAUCAUCAUUUUUGUACUAAAACUUUUUUGGACAGUAGCUGUAGUCCAACUUUUUAAAUUCACCAAAAAUUGUGAAAAUCGAGUUAUAGGAUGAAUAAAAUAUGAAACUAGAGCUUAUUGAAUCUAUUUUUACAUUGAAGAAACGGUGUAUGCAAAAGAAUUUUAGAUUAUGAGAUAUUUGAAUUUUCGUGAGACAGGGUUAGAAUGAUCUCGGAAUCCCCUAUUUUGAAUUUGAAAAAUAAUUAAAAAUUUUAAAAAAAUAAUUAGGGGUUAUAUUUAUAUUAUUAGAAUCUUUGAUGAGUCUAUUUUCUAAAGAGACAAAUGGGAACAUCAUUCGAAUUCUGUAUGAGGAUAUAAUUAAUUUUUAGUGAAGAGGGUUCGGAACUUUUGGACAGUGAAAAAGGGGUAAAUUUGAAGAAUAAACUGUACUUAUUAGCUAAACCAAAAAUUUUGUAAAUUUUAUGGUAAGAAGAUAUGUGAGUAUAGUUUCAAGUUAAAUUAAUGGAUCUUAAUUUGGAGCUUCAUACAUCCAGAAAUAAAUAAUUUAAUGACUAUGACUCGAGUAGAUAGCUUGACUAGAAUUUGAACAAAUAGUGGAAUAAUAUGCAAUUAUAAUUGUGAUACCUUGAGAACAUGUUGUAAGAAUUUGGAAAAAGCAUAUUAAUAAAUUACUUAUUAUUUUCAUAUGAACUUACUAAGUUUUAUAGCUUACCCCCUCCCUUUUCAUCUCUUAUAGGUUUAUGUAGCUAGCUCGGGUUGGAGAUUGUCGGAGAUUCAAUCACACUAUCAAGCUAUCAUUUGGGGUAUAAGUAUUCAAAUACUUAAGUCUAUGGCAUGUCUAUGCUGAUCAUAGGAUUAUUCAUGUGUAUUUUCCAAUGUUUUAUGGUGUGAUCAUGUUGUUUGAUAUGGAUGACUGUGCGCAUACGACUUAAGUACUCGAUGAUUGAUUUUGGCAUAAUUGGCAUAUGGAUAGAUUAUAGCAUAAGUGUGAAAUGUGAAAAUGUAUUAAUGAUAAUCUCGGUAUGAAAGUUGUUAUGAUUAGUCUUGAUAAAGUAUGAUGCCUUGUGUAUGCGUAAGUUGUUAUGAGAAUGUCAUGCAUAAGCUAUAUUUACGAUUAUUAAGUGUUCAUUUAUGCCAUGUUGGAUGCCAUUGAGAUAUGUGAGUGUGCAUGUGUUGUGAUGGUGGCAAAAUGGCUUGGAACAUAGCCUAGCAUUUGUCUACACGGGCGUGUGACCCUGCUUCAUGAUGAAAUUUUUUAAGUUUUCUCAAAAGUUUUCAAAGUUUCUGGUUUAGUCCCAAAUCAUCUUCGAUGCGUGUUUAGGGCCUCUUAAGCCCGUUUAAGGGACGUUAUACAUAUGUAUGAAUGUUUUUGAUUUGAAUGAAAUUUUAUGGCCCGAUUUUAUGUGAUUGUGUAUGUUUAAGUCCGGUAAUGCCUCGUGUCCUGUCCCAGUCUCGGACAUGGGUAAGGGGUGUUAUACUGGCCACAUAGCCGUGUGACCCCUGUUUUCACUUUUUACCUGAAUCUUUUGUAAAGUUUCAAAGUAGUGCUGAUUUGAUACCAAGUUGAUUUAAGGGUCUUGCAUGCUUGAUUAAUGCUUAGUUUUGAUUGAAAAUCACAUCAUACUUGUAUCAAACUUCAAUUUAAUAGAUUUUUUGAUUAUGUAUGUUGAAUUUAAGGCUCGAUUUUAGUUGAUUAUCAUUAAGUUAUUGUAAUUAUGUUAUAAUAUAAAUUAUUUUAUCAUUUAUGUCAUUAUAUCAGUUAAGGUUGAUGUUUGUAUGUUUGUUUAUAAUCCCUGAUGUAUUCAUAAUCUCUAUUGUGCAUGUAAUUAAAGCGAUUAAUGAUUUAUGAUUUGAUUAAAUGUUAUAAAAUGUGUUAUAAUGUUCUGGUAAUUGUUGUAGCAUCCUGUACCUUGGGUUAAGCAACUGGUUCGGGUAUGGGCUAUUACAACCAGUUAGUGGAAUCAUGCCAAAAGAAAACAAAAGUAGAGAUUCGAUUGGAAGUGGUCACACAUGAUGUCUUAAAUUCCAAUCCAAGGGAACAAUGUAUUAUUAACAACCAUCCGUAAUUAAAUCCUGAAAGUCAACAAGAGUUUGGAUCUAGAGAUGGGAUCAAUAAGACUGAAUAUCUCUCCGAUCCAUUUGACAUAGAUGUAGAAAUAGAAUUAGAAGAAGAAGCGCCAAAAUCGAUUUUGAAUGGAAUUGUAGUCGAGCUGAUACACUUUCUGGCAAUAACCAAUAAGGUGUCAACUGAAGAAAUCGAUGAGUUUAUCCCAUUCUCGUUCAAUGAGGAAGAUAAAGCUCGAGUUGACUGAACCUCGCGCCAUAUGGAGGUGAAAUGGAUCGAGGCAAUAAUACAUUGAAAAAUAAUUUAGGGUUAGCUUAGAUUCGACACCAAGUGAUUUGUGAUGCAAUUGCCGCGCGGGUCAAUGACAAGGCGAUAUCAAUGGAAUCGACUAAGGAUACUGGUUUAUAUAUCUCAACGGACAAACAAACGACAGAUUAAAGUCUCGAGAACCAACUGGAAGGUCUUCUUUGAGGGAGAUACAAAUUGUCCAUAUCUCAAAAAAAAGACUUCAAUUUUAAAUUUGUGUUAUUUAAAUUUUGUUAUUUUUAUUUUUAUUAUUACGUUUAAGUGUAGUUAUUUAUUAAUAUUUUAUUUUAUUUUAAGAAGGCCAAGUUUGCGAAGGGAAGCUGAUCGGAGACUUAACAUUUCAGACAAAAGUAGGUUGCAAUAGGUGACAUGUUGGGACAAACAUGUUCCCCCAUGUUGUGACGAGUAGCAACAGGAGAGGCUUAGGGUUUUAAACUAAUAUCGGGAUGAGUAGAAGCAACCUGUUGAGACGAGCAGAAGUGAAACCACCAAGAAAAUGAGCUACAUGCAUCGCCGAGAUGAGAUAGGUCUUAUCGUCAAGAAGAGAAAUGAUUAAAUGCUUAGGGACUUGUAACGACAGGAAAAGUUGGGACGAGCCAAGCCUCCACACUUUGACAAUGCGACAAAUAAAAUGAUACAUCUCGACAUUGCCUUUAUCAAAAAACUUCCCUUUGCCAAACAAUCACCCGCCGUUUGUAUCAACCUUCAAGCAUCGUACAUUACUAGGGGCACCCGUGGAAACAUCUCUACUGAUGAACCAUUUCAAUAGUACGGGUGCUGCCGUGCCACGAGGCACGACCAUAAAAUAAUAAAAAAUAAAAAGUUAUGUAGUUGGACCAUCAGCUCUAUCCGUUCGAGUUUCACUUCUCUAAAAAAGAUAAGACGCUAAAACUGAAAGUGUUCGCAAUGCAUACCGAAAGGAUACCAAUGAAGCCGACCAUUAAUGACUAGUUCGAACACCAGGAGUGGUCUGAUCCUUUAUUUGAUCAGAUAGACUGCUCUUAGAAACAUAAAACAAAAGAAAACUCUCAUAGUUUGGAGCCCAGCUUCAACUACUUCAGGAAUUAUUGAUUCAAAACUUUCUAUCGCUACACCUCUUUUCAACUAUCUUAAAUAGCACACUAGCCGUAAGAGAAAGAGGUGUCGAAUACGGCCACGCAUCCGCUGAGCUGGCCGAAAGAAGCAAGCAAAGCAAAGAGUCUUACUCUAAAGAAAAAGCCUAUUCCUAUUCUAGAAAUCCUGCAAACUAUUAAUCUAAGUACUUAGCACUCACUGCUACAAUUGGAGGAAAUUAAUUGGCGCUGCAUCUAUCCCAAUGAAUUUUUUUCUUUUCCUUAGUCCUCUUCUUUAGCACUGGCUUACUCACAGGAAGCUGGCCUAGCAAAUGACUCUUAGUUAGACUGGUACUAGUUAGGAUAUAACAUAAGGGGAAUUCCAUUCUAGGAGUUCUCCAAAGCCCUAUCCCAUAUAAAAAAAAGAGAAAAGCUAUAUUAACGUUCUAGCCCAAGAAUAGAUCUUAUGAAAAAAAAGAACGAUCGUCAGCGGAGAUCGCAAUAUAAAGCUUUUUAGACAUAAUCCCCGGCAUCAAAAAAUUCCAGGGAUUUUAUCUAUUUAAAGUAUGAGAUAGCCAGGUAUUCCCACAGAGAAGUCUUGCUCUGGCUUGCCUAAAGUGUUGAACAUAUAGAAUUAAGGUUGUCUUACAUACAUACUGGUGGAAUUGAAUUUGAUUCUGCUUUUUAAAAUAGUAAGAGGGGAAUUGAGUAAAAAAUCCUUGUCCGUAGUUCCAGCGGAUUAUCUUUUGUCUUGCAAACCCCAUAUUCUGUACUUCCCUAUUCUUGAAAAGACCGGUAUGCACCUUGACUUUUGGCUUUUCGUUCUUUCUGCUAUAGCUGUUUAGCUAUAUGCGUCUCCUUUUCUUAGUCCCUAUCAGGAAAGAAAGCUCUACAGUGAAAGGCUUCCUUGAUUGGUACUACUGGCUUGUCCAUCUACUGGGUGGGACUACUCCGACAUAUUCGGUGCUACACCCCUAUUAUCCCGUCCUCGAGACUGAACUAAGGCACAUCCCUUCUUUGCUUAGGGUUUGGUUUGGGUUCAGCUUCUGCCGUUGCUUCAGCUGGUCAAAAUACCAUGCCAGGGCUUUCUUUCAUGCGGUUUUUGAUAUUGCAAUGGCAAGCAAAUAGAAGGUUUCCCUCAUUCGGGUAUAGGCUUUCUCGAUUGAUUGGAAAUAUUUUAUUUUAUACUGCCAGAGAAAAAAAAAAGCUAUCUAACCCUGAUAUCCUUGGUACUGUCCCUGCUGAGAAAGAUCCGGAUUUCCCAGAGAGCGCUUUUGCGGUGCAGUGUAACCAACAACUCAAGGCUAUCAAGGGAAGGAGUUGCAGUACCGGAGUUCUAUCUCGGAUCUACAGAAUGAUUAGUUUUUUUCUCGAAAACUGCUCUUAGCGCAGGUUCCACGUGGGAUUGGAUAUCGAAGGUUCCUUCCGAGCAUUUUGGAUAUGGAACCUGUAUUGCCAGAAAGGUUCUCCCUGUCCCGGGCAACCUCUCUUCUUAUAGGAUUCAUAUAGUGGAGUUUACCUUUAAGGUUGGAUUUCAUAGAUCUAAUCGCCAGAAAGAAGCACUGGCUUAUACUUUUAUGGGGAUGGGGCUUACAAGGCAAUCAGAUAGUAGAUUCCCUUUUACUGUCUUCAAUGUCUUGAAGAACAUCUUCCCCAGUCCGAGACAGGUCAACAAUUGUGGAAGGCCCAGGAUGGUCGCUAUAACAUCUUUUUUGGCAUGGUAACAAGGUCCAACAAUCUAACAUGGAAGAUGAUUACUGUGGCUUAAACGACGUGAUAUAGGCUUUAAAGAGGGUUUCAUGAAGGAUUGUGGGAUAGCCUUCCACUCGGACUUAAGAUCCUUUCCCUGGCUGGCAGGCUGUCUUAAAUAAAAGGAAUGCACAUAAAGACAAGACAGCUUAAGCUUCACUGAAAGGCACAUAAAGACAGUCUCAUGCUUGCUUUAACUGCUGAAAGGUAAUACUCUUGGGACUGAUGUCUCAAUCUUUAUUUGACAGGCAUGCAUGAAAGAGAAGACAUACAAUCAAAGACUCUUUCCCUACCCUAAGGCAUUCUUUGAACAGAUGUACAGUACAUAUGUCUCUAAAGAAACUUUCUCUUGGGGCUGCCCAUGACAAGUUUAUAGAAUAGAUACUCUCUGUCUCAAGGAAUUCCCCAUCAACAAAGGUUGGGGAUUUCAUGGAAUCUGUAAGGCAAGCUUUCACUCUUUCCAGGGCAAGCUCUCUUCAAAAACUUUCAUUUCCCGAAAUCUGACCUGGCUGAAGCAGCGGCUAUCGGAGUCAGGCUUAAUAGAGCCUCCUAUCUAGUCAGAUACUGAACUAAAAAAAGAGAACCUUCUUUGUUUUAGGAAUUCCCAUUACUUUAAGAAUUAGUUAAGAGAACAUUAUCGUGCCCACGGUAAAAGUUGAAGGUGGCGGGGACGAGAUUUGUUUUCUGGACCGGGUAUACGCGAGUGGUACCUAGGAGAGAGGUUCACCGGUUAUACCACUGUAGGGUCCAAUCAUUUUAUUAAAAUAAAAUAAAUAAGAAUAUGAAGCUGACAAGACAAUGAUUUCUUUCAUAACCUCUACUUCUUUUUUUGUAUCAAUCGGACCGGUCUUCAAAGAAAGAUCAGAUCUUCCAAUCGCUUAUGUCAGAGCAGUGUCCUCUUCCUUCUUCCUAUGGUCAAGCGCUUGUACUCCCGGUAUGUCUUGUACUUGGGCUUUUCUUUUGAGUGUAGGAAGAAGUAAUCUCGUGCUAGGCCUCUGAAUACCAACUAAUUCCUCACUGUCUAUGUUCCUUCUCCCUUUAGAGCGACUACCCCGCUUCUUCCCCUUAUCCUUAUCCUCUAGAAUCCUCGUUGGUCCUUUUGCACUGAAAAGCUUUCUUUUUGAUUUUGUACUCAGUCAGGUACUUUAACACCAAGCCAAUCUCGACAAAGACAAGUAUUAAACAAGUAAGGAUGUGAUACCAAUCUCAAGAUCUUUGUAAUGAAUUUAGAAGAGUGUGAUUCUCCCCCUGGCAUUCUAGUAGAGUCGGCUUGAUACAAACCCAAUCUCGAUUCAAGUCAAAGCAAUGAGCCAUGUGAGACCUACGGAGCUAUGUUUACGAAGCCUUAAGCAGAGAGGUGGAACUAAGCCGGUACUUUACUUAAAGAAAGGGAUGAGAAAGGCGUUUAGACACGAAAAUACCAAGGGCAAGGUAGGAUCAAUCUAAUUGAGCUCAUAUGACAGGGUGGAAGAUCUCUUUAGAAAGUCCGGCCAGGGGGGAUCAAUUAACCAGUUAAGGCACAAAGUUGGCUCAUAGGAUACGACUCAACCAUUCUACGGGCCGAUCUAAUUCAUUUUGAAGAGAAAGAUUCUUUUCUUUUCUAAUAGAUAAGAAGUAUAAGCUCAAAGCGGAAAGGGAAGCCAGUAGCUAGACUAAGAGGUGCAAGUGGAAUACAAGUCUUGGAGCUAGAGGGUGGACGAACGAAGUCAAGCAAGUCAGUCAGUUCAGUGACCAAGCCUUCUCCUCAACAGUUUCAAUUAAUCGAUCCGGAUAAAGGGAAUUUGAACUUAGAUUGGCUUUGUGUGAAAAAAGUCCAAUAGAUGAGAGCGUAACAACUCAAUUGAUCUCCCGUUUCUCUCUCCUUAACUGAACUAUCGUCCAACCUCUCCUGAUAAGGAGAGUCUCUUCGUGAGGCUACGCCCCAAGGGUUAGGUUCAAGGGUUGGUUUGAAGCUUCUUGGAUUUGUAGUCUGAAUUCCCUCUAUACCUCUCGUUAUCAACUCGACUUCCUGCGGCACCCAUUGACUAUAUGCUGACCCUAUACGCCAUGCCAUCCUAUACCUUUCGAUCUGAAAACCUCUCUCCGCCACGCCCCUUCGGCCUUCGCUGCCUCUCUAUAUUAGCGAGAGUCUCGUUGUGAUGCUUGACACCUAGAGCUACCGAGAGCCCCUGUCUUUAAUAACCAACCAAGCCAAGGUAGGGAGUAGCCCAGCUAUUCGAUUCGAGCUAUAAAUAAAGGCCCAAUUAGACUAAGGAUCAGAUAGGCAACUAAGUUUCAGUUUAAAUAAAAAAGGGAUAAAAUCUCAUUAGAACGAGGUUUACGGGUGGAAGAGAGCGGUUUAGUGGCUUUGGGGAGUCCAUUGCAGCAAGAGUAUAGAGAUUGAUUGGGCCCAAGAUCCCUUUUUGCAAACCAGGAAUAUAGUUAACAAAGAGGUAUCUAAGUUGCUCCUUUCUUCAAGCUUGGCGAGGGGGGAAGGAGGGAGGCAAGGGAACAAGUCUACUGUAUCUACUGUUCCAGUCACUCGCUUGCUUACUGUACUUAAUUACUAAAUUACUAAAUGCUAUAUCAAAUAUGGUGUGCUAAUGGUGAUGUGGUUACUAACCCACCAACAUAUAUCAUUCCGGAAUGGACGACUGGAGCACAAACUCCUAUUUAUAUACUUUCUUCCUUGCCAGGCCAACUGGAAGCGAAAGAAUCUAUCUUUACGGAAUGAAAAAGUGCUUCACUACGCAUAUGCAUAUGCUACAGCUGAUAUGUGACAGUCAGUAUAAUUGAACAAUAUUUUAUCCACUUGAAGCUGAUACGCUGCUAGAGUUGACUUGCAAGGUUUUCGCAGAUGAGUUGUAGCUUCCUUUGUCCUUCUCUUCCGCUUCGGGUUAGCACACUCUCUCUUUUCGUCGGUGAACAAGUCUCAUUCGUUUGGCCGGCCCUAAAUCAGCUUUGAAAUCCUUUUUUCCAUGGUUAUAGAAUGAUUGUGACUUACGAGUAACAGGCUCUGAAAGAGGUUGAUCAACUACAGAGGAUCCAUUAGCAUUCCCUCACCCGAAAUUGGCACAUAAACACUCGAAACUGCCUCUCUUCUUGUCCCACCAGUGUUUAAAAACAAACCUCCGCUAUUAUUAUACUUUCUACCACGAAAACGUCGAUGGGAUAUACGUUAUCCAAAGAUUCCCUUUAACAGGAUGGUUUUAAAUGAUGGUUUAUUACAGGUUCUGGUGGCAUGAAUAGGAUGAGCAUAUGAAGCCGGAACAUGGAUAACGUAGUGGUUCGAGCCGGUCGAGAGUACGAGAUUACUGACCGAAGACUCUUCAAUUGAGAUGGGCUGAAGCCCUGCUAGGGAAGGAAUGCAUCCAAGAGUGUUCUGUCUCAUUGGUCCUCUCAUACCAUAAUUUUCUUCUCAUAAAUCCACUCCCAGAAAUUUGAAUACAUGACUUAUUUAAUUAAAUAAUUAAAACUUUCAAUCUGAGACCUAUCGAUUCAUAGAAUCGAUAUUCAAUUCGCAUUAUUAUUAUUAUGUUGUCUCCCCAUCUCGAUCUUUACUAAUUUUAGUUGGAAGAAAAGAUGACUUGAUCUUUUUCUUGACAUGUAAGGAUCUUUCCCCCAUGCAAGAAAUUAAGUCAAGCAAGUACUUUCCUGUGGUCCUAGGGGUCAGUUUGAUCAGUCAAGAAAUUAAGUCAAGAAAUUAAGUCUUGUCAUUUGAUCAGUCCAGCUGGGGACACUAAGGAUGUCCAUAAGGUGGAAGGUAUGAGUUUCAAUAAUGACCCUCAAAACCCUUCCUUUCUUCUUCUAUUCAUUUCCAGGCACUCUAUCAUACCCUCCCUUUUGUAGUCCCACGCUUGGAACAACUAUAAGAACUAUUCGCUUUCCACUACGCACUACAUUUUUUUUCUGCGAUUGCGCUUCGCUAGCUAACUACUAAUAGUGAAACUACUAGAACUAGAAACUAAAAUUUCCUCUUAACGCCUCAAGAAGGGUCCUUCGCUACACUCGCGCUCUAGAUGGAAAGGUCAACUCAACUAGUCACAAGAAGAAAGGCUGGGUAGGAUCGUAAACUUAUCUGCGAACACCUAACUGUUGAGGUUGGUUCCGAUCCUUAGAUAGGAAUUCUUGGGCUUCUCUCGACCUAUGAAGAAAAGCUUUUGCAGAUGUUAAAAAAAGCAUUGUAGGAUAAUCGGCAUCUGUCCCUCGAGAAAGAGUAAGAUAGUCGCAUCUCUCGAUGAGAAGGAAUCCUGGAAAGAAGAGCAAAGAAAAGCCCUUCUUCUUCUGCCUUUUGACUCUAUCUUGCCCUUUUUUAGGGAAUUAUGGGGUGAAUGAGUGCAACAAAACAAGGAAAGAAGGCCAUAAGCUGCCUAUAUGGAAUUACUCUUCAUGCACAUUUCCCAGAAAGAGUAUAUUGCGAUAAUUGGAUGCUAAGUCUCCCUGGCUUCCUUCCUCCAGCGGAUCUGUGGGCAUUAAAAGAAGAAAGACUUUCAGGUUCUUCGCCACAUUCUUUUUUAGGAAAGAAAGGCUCCUGUUCGUGCCCUGUAAGAAAGAAAAUUAGAAAGGAAGGCAUAGUCGAGAAGACUAGCAGCUUCUAUGUGCAUGGAUAUCUAAACUAUUGGAUUAACGGCAUUGGAUUAGUGGCAUUAUAAUUCAAAAAGACUUUUGCGAAGCAGGAAAACAAUCAGGUAAUCAGGAAAGGCAGAAAGGGCAGAGCCUUAGUUACCCGUAGCUCAAAUAGCCAAGGUCGGCGGAAAAGGAAUAGUACAGCUUGUUUGCAUAAAGGAAGCAUUCAUACUCGACCCGCGUCUGGACGCCUCUCUCGGGCUCACUUCCUGACAACCCAGUCCACAACAAGAAAUGGACAACCAUUGACAAAAGCCGAAGCCUCUAACGAUUUUUAAGCUGGGUAACGGGUACCCUAUCGGAAAGGGGUUUUUGUCUACCUCCAAAGCAUAUGGCUGGCUUAUAGGGUACUAGUCUCCGUUAGGCUUUGAGUCUAGGAGUAUAGUGAUGGCUUCAUCCAUCAGUCCUACCAUGGAACAAGUUUCUUCGCGCUUGACCUUGAAAUUUUGAGGCAUCUUUCCCAAGACAAGAAGCAGCGUUGGAUCCCGGUAGUGCGGUAGUACGCCUAGCAGAAUGUCGUAGACAUCGUGUCCCAAUCGGCCACGGAGCGGGGAGGAAUUGCAAUAUACCAAAAAAGCGCAUUUCCUUUUAGAGACAGAGUAGACUGCUUUAGAAGCAAGGCUUGAUUGGUCGCUGAGUUUCCACAACGGGCCGUAAAAUAUAUCAGAUGCUAAAGGGGCACGCCUUUCCAGCAUACAUGCAGAAGUUGGGGAUGGUAUAGCUGUCCGGAUACCAUUUACUAUCAACCCAUUCUGUGUACGGUGGCUGGUAAUUAGCAAGGGCCUGAGCAUGCUGCGCAUCCGGCCCAUCUAAAACUUGUAAUCGAACCCGCUUUUCUCUUGCUUUGAAUGUCGGCCUAUUUACAGGUCCACGGCCGUAUCAACAGAGACCUUUACCUCAUUCUCUGCCCCCUUAAAGUCUCGAGCUAUUGCAACCUUAGCUCGGUGUUCAUCUUUCCGGUCAAGCUCAAUGAUGAGCUCUUUAGAUGUUCAGUCUGUUCUGACGGAUAUAACGUUGCAUGUCAUCAUCAUGGGAACCUCAUCAUCGCUAGUAUCCUCGAGUCCCGAUGGAUAUCCGUCUGCAGGCUUAGAGCUUUGCCUCCAAUGAAUUCAUUACCAUACUCUAAUUAGAAUGGCUUAAUUGGUUUUGGUUUGAACUCUGCUCUCACUAACGUCGUAGAAAGCCAUUCGUCAAACGACCAAGCAAUAUGUGUCAAUGUACUCUUUAUGUACCCCGAUACCUAUUGAGAAGCAAAUAUCUGCACUCUCGUAGUAAAUUAUCCUUUCCUCGAUGAACUGAUGAACUCAAGUCCAGGCUUGGAACAAAAAUACCACAAGAUGUGGAGCGCGAUAAAAUAAUUUCUCUCUCCAAGCUAGGAGGUUAAAGAGCUGUAUUAAUAGCUGCUUUAAGUUAAGUCUUAGCUCUUUAGGAACGACCAGUAAGCGUAAACAUCUGAAGGCGAUUAAUGGUUAUUAGUCGUAUCAUUUUCACCUUAGCUGAUAGCCUUGGUUCGCCACUUAUGCUAGCCGGAAGAAAGGCCUAUGAAAGCUGUAUUAAGUUAAGGCUCUUCAAGACCUUCUUUCCUUUACUAAAGCAGGGUUCAAUCUCUCCUUCCUCCUGCCUUGGUUAGCACGAAAAAGCUGGUUUUAAGUCUUUCCUCUUUGUUUCCUUCCAUUUUGUUUCGGUCUCUUUUCCCUUUUCUAAGCUAUAUCAACAUAGCCAACUAUAAAACUCAUCCGCUUGUCAAUUCUUGGUGUAAUACUCACUUGUAAAUGAUUGGUGUCAGAAUUUUUUACUGAUCAGGCGUGCUCAGUCUCAGUGUAAGAAUUAGGAAUUCCUCUUCCAACCCGUCCCAAAAUGGGCGUUAUGGUAAAGAACAAGAAGAAACCUAAAGGAGAAAUCUGUCCAAUAGUAACAAAUGGUGCCUCCACAGGUUGACAUCCGAUCCAACCUAGUAAUAAGCAAUCCGCCAAAAGCAACCAAAAUAUUCCUUGGUAAAUUGGGUGAAAACUUGAACUACGCACAUACAUACUUUUAAAAAAAGGUAAAGCCAAUAGACAUAUAAAAACGGGUGCUAUUGCGGCUACACCUCCUGAUUUGUCAGGUAUACUACGAAGAAUGGCAUGGAUCGGUAGGAAAUACCAUUCCGCCACAAUAUGAGGCGGGGUGGGUAUCGGAUUAGCAGGUAUAUAAUUGUCAGGAUGCCCCAAAACAUUAGGAGCAUAAAAAAUCCAAAUAGAAAAAAAGAUAGCAAAAGCUACCCAACUUACUAGAUCUUUUACAUAAAAAUAAGGGUAAAAAGAAAUUUUAUCCAUCUCUGAAUGUACACCCAAUGGAUUAUUUGAUCCAUAUUGAUGCAAUGCGGCCAGAUGAAGAAGACUGGUGCCUACUAAAAUAAAUCGGAGUAAAUGAUGAAGACUAAAAAAAUGAUUUAAGGUGGCAUUGUUCACGAAGAAACCACCCCAAAGCCAAGUCACUAUGGUAUCCCCUGCUACAGGUAUGACGCUAGCUAAGCUUGUAAUUACUGUAGCUCCCCAAAAGCUCAUCUGACCCCACGGUAGUACAUAUCCUAUAAAAGCUGUCACAAUCAUUAAUAGGAAGAUUACAACUCCGAGACACCGAACAAAUUCCCUAGGACUACUAUAACUCACAUGAUAUAGACCACGAAAAAUAUGAAGGCAAACCACAAUGAGAAACAUACUUGCCCCAUUAGCAUGCAUAUAACGUAGCAACCAGCCCCCUUUAACAUCUCUCAUAACGUGUUCUACGCUGUUGAAAGCUGGAUCCACAUGAGGUGUGUAAUGCAUAGCUAAAAAAACGCCAGUCACUAUCUAAAUGACUAGACAAAUACCAGCUAAUGAACCAAACCCCCACCAAUAACUAAGAUUGCUCGGGGUUAGAUAAUCUAUCAAAUGCUGAUUAAGUGUGGAGGAUAUAGGUUGUUUAAGAAGAGAGAAUCAUUGGUUCCUUAUAGUCAUUUUUCCUUCCUAUCGUGACAACUCUUGUUCCCCCACUUUUUUAGCGUUCUAGGGCCCUACAAUAUAUAUAUUAAAGAAAUAUAGUAAUAAUAUAUAUAGUACCCUUUCUUUUAUUUUCGAAGGAUGGAGGGGGUAUACAGCAAAAGAAGCGUCGAAAGGGUCAUCUUGGGUUACUGAAGAGUCGUCCGGCUGCUCGGUGACAGAAGAAGAGAGGUUUUUACCACUUUCUCUUCUCUCCAGCACUCUCAGACUAAUUAUCUUGCUGUAACAAAUCAAGUAACAAAAUAAAUCUAAUGGAAAUUUAGAUUUCUGUCUGCUUCGAAGAUUCUUCUUUCCUCUUCGGUGAAAGAGGGCAAGGGUGUGUGGGAGCUAAGAUAAAAGGGGAGAAGAUCUCGUCUGCCAAGCGGGAACAGAGUGCGACCCCUAAGCAAUUGGAGGUUCUCACUCAUCUUUUGGGGGUCCACAUAUCAUCUAAAAACUUGUCCUGUUCCAUUAGCAUAGCUAAAUUUGAAUCGGAUGACUCAGUGUUAGGAAAAGUAAGCCCCCCUUUGCCUUGAUUGAAUUUGGCUUCGCUGCACCCUGAAUCAAUCAAAAAGCUUAUUGAUUUGAUUCAUCCCAUUUCAUUUGGGCGAGAAGGAGGCUGUGAGUCACCUGGGCUACAGAUUUGUCGGUUGGUUGAUUCUUAAAAUCACCUCUUGAUAACUUGAUAAAAAAGGCCCUCGGGUCCCGACCCACAAAUGAAUAGGAAGAGAGGCGAGGGUCUUUCAUUAAAGAGGGAAAAGAGGGGUAGGCUUUGUUCUGAGGGGGCCGCCUUUCGUAGCUUUAGAAAGGAGAGAAUUGUUGAAAGUCACUCUCUCCAACCUUUUCUAUCUAUCUUUAGAAGUAGGGCGAGAGAAAGUCAAUAUGAUAUUUGCGUUGGUUUUUCCAACAAAAUUAAGCAUAUUUUUGUUUUUUUCAUUCAGAAGGCUCAGUCCCACACUCUGACUUCAAUGAUGGAAACAACCUCUGCACUCCGGCACUCCAAUAAACAACAGUUCCCCGCCUUACUAUAUUUAGAAUAGUGGUCGAUCCCUCGAGAAUUACAUUCGUAACUUAAUGUUAUGGUCACGCGAUGAUUCCAAAAGUACUACCCUGUUCGUAGUCUAUGUCUGUGGAGCAUACUUGACAGGAGAUAGACACAGGCGGUAGAUAAGUCCCCCACUUCGAUUCCCGCCCCGUUAGCAUCUCCGAUCCGAGAUAAGGGAUUACUCUGUUAGGUCUUUUCGGUCCGGAGCCGGCCAGUAAUGGACCUACUUACUUUGCUUGUGGACCAGCUGCAGAGCUAACCCUUGUUCUAUUGGUUUGGUGGUUGCUACCAAGACGAUUUCUUUAUGCCCAUCAAAGGACCUCGAGAUGCUAAUCCACGGAAAACGAUACGAGAAAUUCAAAAGAACUCAUAUACGGAACGAGGGUGACCCGUGGAAAUACAUCAGUUUCUUACUCGUGCAAAGGAACUAUUUCUUGGCAACUUGGACAACUUAUAACGAUGUUUGUCCCGCAUAUCACUAGGAAGAUCGGGAUCUUUACAAAAGGCUUUAUAAAGCUUUCGUCUUAAUUCAUAUUUAGCAGCGAGAAAUCUACGUUUGUGAUCUCGUAUAUUUCACUUCUCCGACAUCUUAUUGUGUUUCCCCCUCAUCUUUUUGCAAAAAGCCGUUCCACGGUGGCUUUGUCUUAUUGUCUAUCUCGUAAUUAUUCGAUUCCGUCUGAAUUAGCUCCUCCUGCUCCUCCUUCUCCUUCGUAACCUUCAUCGUCGUUGGUCCUUCUGCACUGCUCUUGAUACGUCACCGUACCUUUUCAAUGAAAUCUGUGCCUUCGUUGAAAAAGUAUUUUUUGCAGGCUAUGGGAUUUGAACCUAAUUCUUCCAUGACCCCCCACGAAUCAAUCAAAAACCUACUUAUCAAAUACGAGCCGGUACGUACUUGACUGAGCUGAGCCAAUAAGUGACCACAGAUCCGUUGUAAGUACUAUUUCAAGUCUAACGUUGGCAUUUUACUCUCCACUUAACUUACUUGCUUGCUUUUUGAUACACUUGUUGGAGAAGGUCGGUUAAGUACAUGAAUCCAGGAUGACCAAACUUGAACUUGCGAACGAUCAUAUACGAGAUUUUUCUUUCUAUAUGAAAUUUCGAGGUCGGUAGUUAGCUGCGCAGCAAUCCACAACGGGAAUCAAUCAAUCCUAGAGAAAGUCUAUGUGACCUCAUGAUUAAACGAAGAGAUUACUCCAUCAUGCGCAACAAACCCAGGGGUUAGACUCCAUCUUAUAUAUACGCAACCUCUGGGAUAUAAGGAAGAUCCAUGUUACAUUAGGAAUCAGCCACCAAGAAAGGGGGAGAAGAAGCGUGUGAUUCCCUGAUCAAGACCAAGGCGGCGGGAGCUCCGCCUAGAAGAAAGACACAAAGGGGAUAGAAUGCCUUUCUUCUCUUAGGAUAUUUCUUAAAAUAAAAGAGGUGGUAUUAGUUUUGAAAAGAAAAGAAGGCCACCGCUUAUCCAAUUAAUUGCCAAUUACAGCAGCAGACUCGAACCGAUCGUUUUGAGUGAAGGCCAAUACAAUAUUGGCAAAGGGGUUUAAGUUGUCAACCGCAGAUGGGGCUAAGCUAAGCUUUAUCUCAAAUUCAAAGCCGGGAACCAAGCUAAAGAUUCAUGACUAGCGUGAAAGCCUAGCGAACUGGUCAUUGCCACUUUUAUGUAAAGUGGCUUUAGGUGCAUGGUCAUUGCCUUAGUAGGUCGAUCUAUGAUGACUCGUGCUGAGCUUACUGGUCGUAGGAAGCUUGUGUCCUUUUUAUUUUUGAAGAUGGUGAUCAUAGGACUGCCUUUUAUCAAUGUAACAGGUUCAAUCUGCUUCUCUCGCUGUUUGUUCGAGAACUUGUCGCUCUUCUUUGAGUUUUUUAGGUUCCUUGGACUCUAUCCUAUAGUUAUAGUAGAUUAAUACACGAUCUGUCUUGGUUGUUAUGCCUGUACUUUGAUGACCAUAUUUUUGCCCAAUACGAUUCAUUCGAUACAGAGUCUCUCCAAGCGGUUUUGUCGAGCAGGGCCUUAUUCACUUGAUUCAUUUGACGAAUGCCUAAUCCUCCCUUUAGACGUACAGACAUCCUUCCAAACCAGAAUCUUUCAUUUUUUGAAUCUCUUUCACCCAUUUAAAUUUAAACAAAUGAAAAAUUUUGUCACAAAAACUAAAAAUUUAGAUGUCUGCAUGACGUAACAUAAGUAGGAAGAGCAAAAAGAUAAAUGAGUGAAUUCCACAUCCCGGUAUUCCACAGUUCAUUAUUCAUUAGUGUGAGUCAACGGAUAAAGCUCCUCAAUUGGAUGCUACACCUGUGGGAGUUGAGUCAAUUACUCUAUUCUAUGUCUUUCUCUGAUAUAGCGAACAAUAAGGUAAUGAAGUUCUGCGAAUGACCGAGCAACGUAAUUAUGAUGAAAUUACUUCUGUGUUUGGUCUCUUUCUGACUAAGCUACCGAAGAAGUCUCUCUAUCAGAUAGGUCACAUUCCUUGUAUACAAUGUUAUCAGAUGUACGGAGUGGAUCACUAAUUCGAUCUCGGAAUGCAUUCAUCCAUUUUUUCCUUUCUGACACUUGCGCUACCGCUAGCUAGCUUAAUGAGGGGAAGUGACAAUCUACUUAUGAAAGAAAAAAUUCGUUGCUUGUUCUAUUCCUAUUUAUUCAAAACUAUGCAUCUUUCCUCCGAUUCUUGUCAUUAAAGUCUAGAUAGAUUCCUACUUCUUCCGACAAGAGGAAAGGAAGAAGUCCUACAGGGUUUAUCCCGCUAAAUAGUGGAUUCUUGCAAAACCUAUUCUUGCCAAGACAUUCUGACUAUACCUUCUUUUCUCCACUACUGCUAUUACUGCGGGAAGUGGCACUAAUCUAAUUUCAUUCUCAUGGCCCAUGUCAAAGGGAAUAGAAUGACAAUUCUUUAGGUCUCUGCCUUUGCAUUGCAAGCGCAGGAUUUUCAUUAAAUAAAUAGAUGUUUUUAACUUAUUCCAUAGAUAAGAGGUCUAUCAAUGUAGGAAGAGCGGUUACGACUACGAGAGCAGUAACGGCGCCCUAGCAUCUGCCUGCAGCCAUAGGAUAGACUUGUCGCACUUCAUUUUAUAACGAUGAUUGGAACACCUUUUGGGUAUAGAAUAUCUCUGCCAAUUGGACAUUCCCAGUCAACGCUCAGGUCUGGUAGCAUGGACAAUCGGGCUUGAUUAACUCCAUUAUGUAUAUUGCCUGGGCUACCUGUACUUCUCAAAUCGGGAGUGUGUGACAUAGAACCUGUGGCUUUUCCGGUCCAGCGGGGAUUGGUCAGCCUUCUAUUCCUUAUGGAAAAAGAGUUAUAACUGGGCAGGCAUAGUUGUACCUAACCAAAAAUAGAGUAAUUUGCUAAUAAAGCAAGUAGACUAAUAGGAGAAAAUGAUUGCUCAGAGGUUUUUAUCCCUCGAUCCAUGUGAAAGUUACUUCUCUUGAUCUUGAGGGGCGUAGCGAUUUCGAAGUGGAAAUCUCUUUUUUUAAAACACUAUGUUUCCUGACAUCCCAUCUAAAAAAAAUAGACACUGCACGCCGGAUUAGGAUACUCCUAAUUCUGAGGCCUAAACGUGCCAUUUCCUACCUUAUCCGAGAGUCUUCAUCUAAGUGCUCGCGAAUCCUCUUCACUUCAGAUACCUCUAGAUCCUUUGCCAAAGGGGCCUCGAAAAGGUGCUAUUUCGCGUUUGAAACCAAUCGAUGUGGGAUCCUAAACAAACAAGUUUCUCUUCUUAGCUUAGCUUAGUUAGGCGCAGGGAUCUCAUCUCUUUAGCUAGAAGAAGGGUUGAACUCGUUACCACGACGGUCAAUCACUACUUGGGAACAAAUGACCGAAAAGUUUUUAUUAAAAUAUUUUCCGUCGGCUAAAAUAACCAAAUUACACAAUGGUAUCUCUUCUUUUGAGCAGAUGGAUUUAGAAACACUCUACGAUGCAUGGGAGAGAUACAAGGACCUUUUGAAAAGGUGCCCUCACCAUGGGUUACCACUCUGGCUACAGGUUCAAACAUUUCACAAUGGCCUGAAUCCUUCGACUCGACAAAUGAUUGAAGUAGCCGCUGGUGGAACUAUCAAUAAUAAGACACCUGAGGAUGCAUAUGAAUUUAUAGAAGAGAUUUCACAGAAUAAUUAUCAGUGGCAAGUCAUGAGGGCAAAACUAACGAAAACAGUCGGCAUUCUUAACGUCGAUUUGGUUACCAUGCUCUCUAAUUAGGUAGAACUUUUGAACAAAAAAAUUGAUAGUUUUCUCGGUUCUUCACAGGUUCACCCAAUAAUGCAAUGCAAAGCAAGUGGAGGUGGAUCAAGCAAUUCAGAAUACCCACCCUAUGGCUACAACAUGUAGAAUGAGCAGUUAAAUUAUAUGGGUAAUAAUCAUCGAUCUCAAAAUAAUCCUUAUAGCAACACUUACAAUGCAGGUUGGAGGAACCAUCCAAAUUUUUCAUGGGGAGGACAAGGAAAUCAGAGACCACCACCACCUCUAGGCUUCUAACAACCACCCCACCAACAAGAGAAAAAAUUGAACCUUGAAGUGAUGCUAACAAAAUUCAUCUCGGUGUUAGAAACUCAUUUUCAGAAUACUGAGACAACACUUAAAAAUCAAUAAGCAUCGAUCCAAGGGCUCGAAACUCAGAUAGGUCAGCUCGCUAAAUUGAUAUCUAAACGACCACAAGGCAGCCUGCCGAGUAACACUGAACCUAACCCAAGGGAGCAAAUCAAUGCAAUUACCAUUCAAGAUGAGGAAGGGUUAGUUGCACCUGAACCAGAACCGAGGCAAGAAACUAUGCUAAGUAAAGGUAAAGGUGAGGUGGACCAUAAUGACCAAAAAUUGGUAAGUGAAGAAUACAAACCUUGAGUGCCAUACCCAAACGCGAUAAGGAAAGACCGCAUAGAAGAACAAUUCGGUAAAUUUCUUAAAUUAUUAAAUAAGUUACAUAUUAACUUACUGUUAAUUGAAGCUCUUUCGCAGAUGCCAAACGCAGUCAAAUUCUUAAAGGGGAUGUUAACAAACAAGCGGAAGUUGGAUGAGGCAUCGCAUGUGGAGCUAAAUGCGGUUUGCUCAGCCAUACAGAAUAACCUGGCCAACAAAUUAAAAGAUCCAGGGAGUUUUACGAUUCCCUGUUUAAUUGGUAGCCUGGAUGUUAAUAAUGGUUUGGCUUAUUUAAGGGCUAGCAUCAAUGUCAUGCCUUACAAACUGUUUAAGCAACUAGGUCUUGGGAAACCCAAAUAAACUAGGAUGAGUAUUCAAUUAGCCGAUAAAACAAUCAGAUUUCCUAGGGGGAUUAUUGAAGAUGUACUCGUUAAAAUUGACAAAUUUAUAUUCCAGUUGAUUUCGUUGUUUUAGAUAUAGAAGAAGAUAUCACGUAUCACACAUGAAAUAUUUGAUGGUUCAAUCAUUGAUGGCUUGCUAUAUAAUAACUGAAUAUAUUGAGAAUUUGAUAUAACAUGAUGUUUUAUUAAGUUGGAUAACUUGUGAAAGAGUGAAAAGGAAGGUAAGUUUGUAUGUAAAUAAUAUAUCAUUUUUACUUAUGUUAUCAUAUUUUUUUAUUAUAUAAGAGGUGGUUGCAUAUUGAAUGAUCACUUGAUGUAAAUUAUGAAUUGAAAUUGAUUAUGGAUGAAUUGGUAAAAUGUUGAAAAGUGAGGAAUUUCCCAGUUAGACCUUCGAAAUAGAAAAGAUACGAAUGAUCCAUUGUGAGAACACAUGUGUAGUACUAUGUGCAGGUUACUAUAUGUUUAAAAUGGUUUUAGGUCACGUGCGUAGUACUAAGUGUAGGCUACUAUGUGUACCAGAUAGUUAGGUCGCAUGUGUAGUACUAACUGUAGGCUACUAUGUGUACCCGAUAGCUUCGAUCACAUGUGUGGUACUAAGUGCAGGCCACUAUGUGUAAAAGAUAGCUUUGGUCACAAGUGUGGUACCAUGUGAAGGCCACUUUGUGAAGAAGGUAGCUUUGAUUACAAGGGUGGUACUAUGUGCAGGCCAUUAGGCAUCCGUUAUUGUUCCAAUGUGUUCAAUAGGAAAUGACUAGGUGUAAUUCAAUAUGACUAUUUGAUGAAUAAGUAAAGGUUCGUGUGUGUAAACUUAUGAGCAAUGUGCUCGAUAUGUGAUCGAACUUUGGUAAGAUUGAUAUGGAGUAAGUGUUACAAUGAAAGUUACUACAAAGAAAACAUGAAAGAGUGAAAUUUAGUAAUAAACCAGUUUUGGACAGCAAUAGUUGUGUGAUUUUGAAAAAUCACCAAAAAUGGUGGAAACUGAAUUAGAAGUUGAAUAAGAUAUGAAAUAAAAGCUUAUUUAGUCUAGUUUCAUAUAAAGGAAAUGAUGUAAGCAAAAUAAUUUCAUAUUAUGAGAUAUUUGAAAUUUUGUGAGACAGAGUUAGAAUGAUUUUGGAAUCCCCUAUUCUGAUUUGGAAAAAUCAUUAAAAAUUGUAAAAAAAUAAUUAUGGGUUAUAAUUUAUAUGCUUAAAAUUAUUAAUGAGUCUAUUUUCUAAAGAAACAAACAGAAACAUUAUCCAAAUCUUUCACGAAGAGAUAAUUAAUUCUUAGUCCAGAGGGGUCAGAACUGUUAGAUAGUGAAACAAGGGUGACUUUAAAGAAUAAACUAUACUUAUUGGCUCCACCAAAAAUUUUGAAAAUUUUAUGGUAAGAAGAUAUGUGAGUCUAUUUUCUGGGAAAAUUAGAAAUUAUCAAUUUAGAGUCUCGUAGCUCUAGAUAUAAAUAAUUUAGUGACCGUGACUCAAGAAAACAACUUAACUAGACUUUGAAUAAAUAGGGAGGAAUUGAAAAAUAGCAUGUUAAUACAUUGCUUAUUAUUUUUCAUGCGAGCUUACUAAGCGUAAAGCUUAAUCCCUCCUUUCCAUUUCUUUUAGUGUUGUCAGGUUGGCUCGGUGUUGGAGAUCGUCGGAG
rnacentral:lncRNA from 1 species